UCGGACUGAGCUGAUCAGUCUCUCCUAAUCUUGUUUUUCGUAUGUGUGCUCCGCCAGUAGAGCCAGUUGCCUGAUGUACUUGUCUUGCGCCAUCACCGGAGUGAGUAGGUCAAUGGAGGCGAUGGUGGCAAGAGGAGUGUAAUGUUGAUGGGUUUGAACUACUUGAAACGCGUGAUUCAAGUUCAUGAUGGGUAGGUGAGAUGCAAGGUGGCGGCGACGAUCUGCUCAUGCUGCGUUUCUUGUGCGCCGACGGUUCCUCUGACUAUGUUGGCGGUGAGCUCAUCUGCCAAUUCAUCAUCUGUGUGACGUUUGCACCGUGGAUACCUUUCUGGUAGUCGUACUCCAUCGUCAUUUUGAGGAGUCAUGAUGGCAUGUAGUUCCCGCUCUGGAGAAAAACUACUCAAGCUUGACGUGAUGAUCUCUAUGGGGCCGUCUUCUUCAUAGAUAGAAGACAGAGGUGUUCCCUCCUGGUAUGGGUGGUUGUC
rnacentral:lncRNA from 1 species